rnacentral:lncRNA from 10 species
GAACUGAAGAGUAGCCAGCCAGCAAAGCAGAAAUGUGAUGUACAUAUCCCAAGUCCAGUAUCUCAGAGCCAAGUGUACAGACAAGGGUCGUAUCGUUUGGCUUUGUGUCCCCACCCAAAUCUCAUCUCAAAUUGUAAUCCCCAUGGGGAUGGUUUUCCCCCUGCUAUUCUCGUGAUAGUGAGGGGGUUCUCAAGAGAUCUGAUGGCUUUAAAAGUGGCAGUUUCCGCUGCCUGCUCUCUCUCUCUCUCUCUCCUGCUGCCUUGUGAGAUGUUGCCUGCUUUCCCUUCACCUUCUUCCAUGAUUGCAAGUUUCCAGAGGCCUCCCCAGCCAUGUGGAACUGAUAAACAGCUCUAUCAGGCUGGUUCUCAAAGGACAGGAGAUGUGGAACUGAACUUCAGCAAACAUGAAAUAGCAUGUAUACAAGCAAGAAAUUGACCUCUGGAGUUAUAAGCAACCAAGAUUUUCAAUUUGUUACUGCGACAUAACCUGGAUUAUUUUGAAUGAUAAGUACGCUCUAGUUAUGUGUGGUCAGUAUUUAGGCCUAGUUUUUUGUUCUGUUUCUUUCCUAAGAAUAGCAUGUAGGGUAAAAAGAAAUAUGUUAACUUGGACUUAAUGGGACUCUAGUAGCUGUCAUCCAUUUGGGGGGAUUCCAUUCAGAUAGUAAGUGAUCUUUUCAAUAAAAGAAAAAAAAAGAAAAGUUCAAGUCAUUAGAUCGGUUAUUCUAUUUCUCAUAAACUAUCGGUCAGAUGAAAAAAAAUCAGAACUUUACAUGGAAGUCAUUCUAUCUUAAGGAAGAUUGAUGCUGUCCAUUUGUUCUUCCUAGAAGCUAAUGCCAUAUAAAAACUUAUCACAUCAAUGGGAAGAAGCAAAGAAUACAAGGAGAAGAAAGGGAUGAGAAGAAACACGUGAACUAGCAGUGCCACGUCG